rnacentral:rRNA from 1 species
AUUGAACGCUGGCGGCAUGCCUUACACAUGCAAGUCGAACGGCAGCACGGGAGCAAUCCUGGUGGCGAGUGGCGAACGGGUGAGUAAUAUAUCGGAACGUGCCCAGUCGUGGGGGAUAACGUAGCGAAAGCUACGCUAAUACCGCAUACGAUCUACGGAUGAAAGCGGGGGAUCGCAAGACCUCGCGCGAUUGGAGCGGCCGAUGUCAGAUUAGGUAGUUGGUAGGGUAAUAGCCUACCAAGCCGAUGACGGGUAGCCGGCCUGAGAGGGUGACCGGCCCGAGGGGCACUGAGAUACGGGUCCCACUCCUACGGGAGGCAGCAGGCUAGAAAUUUGGGCAAUGGGGGAAACCCUGACCCAGUGACGCCGCGUGCAGGAAGGAACCCUUCGGGGUGUAAACUGCUGUCGUGUAGGGAGAAGGGUACUAAAGGUGAACAAUCUUAGUACUUGACGGUACUACAGGAGGAAGCCCAGGCUAACCUCGUGCCAGCAGCCGCGGUAAGAGUACUCUA